rnacentral:misc_RNA from 1 species
UGCUUCUCUUUUUAGUGAACUCGGAG